rnacentral:rRNA from 1 species
GACGAACGCUGGCGGCGUGCUUAACACAUGCAAGUCGAACGGAAAGGCCCUGCUUUUGUGGGGUGCUCGAGUGGCGAACGGGUGAGUAACACGUGAGUAACCUGCCCUUGACUUUGGGAUAACUUCAGGAAACUGGGGCUAAUACCGGAUAGGAGCUCCUGCUGCAUGGGGGGGGUUGGAAAGUUUCGGCGGUUGGGGAUGGACUCGCGGGCUAUCAGCUUGUUGGUGGGGUAGUGGCUUACCAAGGCUUUGGCGGGUAGCCGGCCUGAGAGGGUGACCGGCCACAUUGGGACUGAGAUACGGCCCAGACUCCUACGGGAGGCAGCAGUGGGGAAUAUUGCACAAUGGGCGGAAGCCUGAUGCAGCAACGCCGCGUGCGGGAUGACGGCCUUCGGGUUGUAAACCGCUUUCGCCUGUGACGAAGCGUGAGUGACGGUAAUGGGUAAAGAAGCACCGGCUAACUACGUG